rnacentral:lncRNA from 10 species
AUUACUUUUUGUUGUACUCAGACUGAGGAAAACCUUUGCUGGAGGUUUGAAAGCAAAUCUAUGAUGUAUUAGCAGAACCAGAAAGUCCUUCCUGUGGAGAUGGGACCUUUUCGGUAUUGUCAUUUUUGGAUUUUAGUGCACAAACUUCUCAUGAUUGAGUUUCGGCUUUUGAGAGCCAUGACCAAGUGGUAGGUAGGGCAUGAAAGAAGAAAACAAAUCUCCUGACCUUAGCAUAAUGUGUCACAGUACUUUAGGCCCCUUAGCCAAGGCGGGAGAUAAGAAGGCAAUAAGGAAAUGGUUGGAUGAAUCACUGUGCCCCAGUGGCAAAAAUGUCCUGAAGCAAUUUGGAUGAAAGUGAGAAAGUGGAUAUGACAAAUGCUGCUCUACACUAACCGGAUUGGUUGUGCCCCCACCACCCACACCCUCCCCAACUACAGGACUUCCUUCACCACUGUGCAUUUUCCACUGAGAUGCUCUCCUGAAAGCAAGUUUCAGCAAGAGGCUGGAAAGGCCUCUCAGAGAGAAGGCUGAGCUGGCAGUGAUCAGGGAGCCCCCGGGCAUUUGGCAGCCGUCCACAGUAAGACCGGCAGAUGGAGCCUUCAUCUGGCAAGAAACUGGGGAAGCUGGCGGUGUCGUCAGGUGCAAGCUUCAGUGAGAAGUGCCAGCACUCUGAGAAGAUGCACAGAAAUACAGAAGCAGCUCCCGUAGGAGAAGGAAUGGAGGCCGCACGCGGUAGCUCACGCCUGUAAUCCCAGCACUUUGAGAGGCUGAGGUGGGUGGAUUACUUAAGGUCAGGAGUUUGAGACCAGCCUGACCAACAUGGUGAAAACCCGUCUCUACUAAAAAUACAAAAUAUUAUCCAGGCGUGGUGGUAUGUGACUGUAGUCCGAGCUACUCGAGAGGCUGAGGCAAGAGAAUCACUUGAACUCAGGAGGUGGAGGUUGCAGUGAGCCAAGAUGGUGCCAUUGCACCUCCUGCCUGGGCAAUAGAGCAAGACUCUGUCUCAAAAAAAAAGGAAUGGAGAAAACAUAGCCAUAGCUCUGGGUUGAAGCUGUCUUCUCUCUGAGGCUCAAGAAGCUGGGCAUGGAAUUAACUCCGUCAACCAAAAAUACAGUUCUAAGUCCCACCCCCCAACCAUCUGAAUGGACUUUCUCCUUGGCCAGGGCGCUCUUAAAAUGUAACCUCAGAGACCGGUUCCGGCCAGGAACGGGAAGUGCCUCAUUAUACCCGCUGGCAUUAACAUCAACACAGACCUUACUGAUAAGAAUCAUUUACCAUCUAUUCUCUGAAGCCUGCGACCUUUUCUCUCCAUAAUCCCUUAUCUUAACCCAGACAUUUCCUUUCUAUUGAUUCCAGGUUUUUAGAUAAACUCAACCAAUUGUCAACAAGAAAAUUUGUAAAUCUACCUAUAAGCCGGAAGCGCCCCCCACCUUCGAGUUGUCCCACCUUUCUGGACCGAACCAACGUAUUUUUUAAACAUACUUGAUUGAAGUCUCAUGUCUCCCUAAAAUGUAUAAAACCAAGCUGCACCCUGACCACCUUGCACACAUGUUCUUGGACCUCCUGAGGGCUGUGUCAGGGGCCAUGGUCACUCAUAUUUGGCUCGGAAUAAAUCUCUUUAAAUAUUUUUGAAAAUAGUUUGUCUCUUCGUAGACAAUUCUGUGGGCUUGCAGGUAUCGCCCCUGGUCAGCGGUGUAUUCAGUCGCUGUGCCAUCCCCCAUGUGGCUACAAGAACAAAAGCACCUUCUUAAGCCCAAGAGAUACAGUGGUUACUCCCAUGAGUCCUUGGACACCUUCACCAAACGGCACUAGUAAGUGGCUCCUCUAGGCCGGGAGGAACGGAGAAGGCACAAUACCAGCUUGGCUCACUACUCCAGGAGACCCCUGGGGUAAGGGGCUUGAGCACAGGCUCACCACUUCCCCACCACCGCCACCCUUAUUUGGUCUGUGAAACUCCAGGGGGAGUCUUUAUGGGAAGAUGCAUUCCUUCCAAUAUGUCAUCGAGUGCUUACUUAGCCAUCUCCUUUUCAAGACCUGGGUCUACUUGCUGGCCCCUGAACUGCUCCACACCCUUCUGUGCCUUCUGAUUGUCCACGUGCUCAACUUGUUGGAACAUAGGAGAUAAGCUAUCUAGGGUUCCGGCCUCUCCCUGAGACAGGUAGAGACUGCGUGAUCAGGUGCUGAGGGGCUGCUAUGUUCCGGAGGUCAGGUGACAUUCCACCUGAGGCCUGGGGACAUGGCAUUCUAUAUUGACUGCUGUCGCUGUUCUCGCUGAUGCUGGUUUGGUGUAAGAGAUGAUAAGAAAGCAUCUUCCCUACGAAUUGCAGGGAAGCAAUUCUGGGCCUAGCCUCCCAAAGUGCUAAGAUUACAGGGGUAAGCCACGGCACCUGGCCACCCUUCUUCUUUUUUUUUUUUUUCAGACAGAGUCUUGCUCUGUCACCCAGGCUGGAGUGCAGUGGCACUAUCUCGGCUAGCUGCAAGCUCCGCCUCCUGGGUUCAUGCCAUUCUCCUGCCUCAGCCUCCCGA